rnacentral:rRNA from 1 species
CCAGACUCCUACGGGAGGCAGCAGUGAGGAAUAUUGGUCAAUGGGCGGGAGCCUGAACCAGCCAAGUCGCGUGAGGGAAGACGGUCCUAUGGAUUGUAAACCUCUUUAGGCGGGGAGCAAUGCCGGGCACGCGUGCCCGGAGGGAGAGUACCCGCAGAAUAAGCAUCGGCUAACUCCGUGCCAGCAGCCGCGGUAAUACGGAGGAUGCGAGCGUUAUCCGGAUUUAUUGGGUUUAAAGGGUGCGCAGGCGGCGUGUCAAGUCAGCGGUAAAAUGUCGGGGCUCAACCCCGGCCGGCCGUUGAAACUGGCGUGCUCGAGUUGGAGAGAAGUAUGCGGAAUUCGUGGUGUAGCGGUGAAAUGCGUAGAUAUUAGGAGGAACACCGGUGGCGAAGGCGGCCUGCUGGACUGUGACUGACGUUGAGGCCCGAAGGCGUGGGGAGCAAACAGGAUUAGAUACCCUCGUA